AUCUCUUGAAUUUGUGGUAGU
rnacentral:piRNA from 1 species